rnacentral:misc_RNA from 1 species
GCAAACUUGGUCAUUUAGAGGAAGUAAAAGUCGUAACAAGGUUUCCGUAGGUGAACCUGCGGAAGGAUCAUUAAAAAUUUUUAUAUAUUUUUAUCUACCUUGUGUGCAAACAAUGGAAAGAGGAAAUGGAAAUGGAAAUGGAAUCUAAGAACACCUUUUUUUUCUUUUGGAAAGAAAAAAAAGUGUUUACAAAUUCUCCAUAUUCUUUUUAUUAUAAACACAAUCAAACUUUUUUUAAUGAAAUUAUUUUUUAAAUAAAAUAUUUAUACAACUUUCAACAACGGAUCUCUUGGCUCUCGCAUCGAUGAAGAACGCAGC